GCACAAGCGGUGGAGCAUGUGGUUUAAUUCGACGCAACGCGAAGAACCUUACCAGGGCUUGACAUCCCCUGACCGCGUAUGAAAGUACGUUUUCACCCUCGGGUGACAGGGAGACAGGUGGUGCAUGGUUGUCGUCAGCUCGUGUCGUGAGAUGUUGGGUUAAGUCCCGCAACGAGCGCAACCCCUACGUUUAGUUGCUAACGCGUGAAGGCGAGCACUCUAGACGAACUGCCGUUGACAAACGGAGGAAGGUGGGGAUGACGUCAAAUCAUCAUGCCCCUUAUGUUCUGGGCUACACACGUGCUACAAUGGCCGGUACAGACGGACGCAAAGCCGCGAGGUGGAGCAAACCCUAAAAAGCCGGUCUCAGUUCGGAUUGCAGGCUGCAAUUCGCCUGCAUGAAGUCGGAAUCGCUAGUAAUCGCAGGUCAGCAUACUGCGGUGAAUACGUUCCCGGGCCUU
rnacentral:rRNA from 1 species